rnacentral:rRNA from 1 species
AGGAUGAACGCUGGCGGCGUGCUUAACACAUGCAAGUCACGGGGGCCCAGCAAUGGGCAACCGGCGAACGGGUGCGUAACACGUGAGCAACCUACCUAAGUGAGGGGGAUAGCCGGCCCAACGGCCGGGUAAUACCGCAUACGCUCGAAUUGAGCAUUUUGAUUCGAGGAAACCUACGGGGCACUAU